AUUGAACGCUGGCGGCAGGCCUAACACAUGCAAGUCGAGCGAGCGGCGGACGGGUGAGUAAUGUAUGGGGAUCUGCUCGAUGGAGGGGGAUAAUUACUGGAAACGGUGGCUAAUACCGCAUACUAUUGGAUGAUACAAUAUGGGAUUAGCUAGUAGGUGGGGUAAAGGCUCACCUAGGCGACGAUCCCUAGCUGGUCUGAGAGGAUGAUCGGCCACACUGGGACUGAGACACGGCCCAUACUCCUACGGGAGGCAGCAGUGGGGAAUAUUGCGCAAUGGGCGCAAGCCUGAUGCAGCCAUGCCGCGUGUAUGAAGAAGGCCUUAGGGUUGUAAAGUACUUUCAGCGGGGAGGCGUUACCCGCAGAAGAAGCACCGGCUAACUCCGUGCCAGCAGCCGCGGUAAUUC
rnacentral:rRNA from 1 species